rnacentral:lncRNA from 1 species
AGUGUUCCAGGCCCUUGGACCGCAGGGAGGGCAACCAAAUGGCAGAGGCGGUAACGGAGAGCAUCCCUGAACGGCCAGAAACGCGAAAUGCUGUCGGCCUUCCAGAGGCUGUUCCGAGUCUUAUUUGUGAUUGAAACAGUCUCAGAAUACGGAGUCCUGAUCUUCAUUUAUGGAUGGCCCUUUCUCCAGACCCUUGCGAUGCUCCUGAUCGGGACAGUGUCUUUCCACCUUUGGAUCCGCAGAAAUCGAGAGAGAAACUCAAGGAGCGGAAAGACUAGAUGCCGAUCCAAAAGGUGACCAGCCACCAAGUAAAGCACUGAUGGUUUCAGAAUGUGCCUAAACCUGCACCAGUGAGGCAAGUAUGCAAAAGGAGUCCCUUUCCGGGAUGGACACACUUCCCAUAGAGCCGUGUCACCCCGCACAGGGUUGCAACCAGGCUGGUCUCAAAUUCCCAACCUCAGGUGAUCUGCCCGCCUGGGCCUCCCAAAGUGUUGGGAUUACAGGCAUGAGCCACUGCACCCGGCCUCAGACUGGGAUCUGAAAUUAGAGAGAAUCCCUUGUGGACUGGGGACAGGACAAGACUGCUCUAGAUUGGCCCAUGGUGCCAGGUUAGUUCCUUCUGUAAGCUCCACCUCCUCCAGGGGCACCCGCUAAUUGGCUCCCUCAGAUCCUGGCUAGCCAGUACAAGGCCUCAGCAGUGCACAGAUCCCAUCUCCAGCCAGUCCAGGUGGCGCUCGCAUGGUAGGGUGCAUGAACCUGUGUUGGAGUACAGGCCUUCUUUGCUCCAGUUGUUUCCCAAUAAUAAAUGUUAUAAAAUUAUCAAAGGCACUGUAUUAGUCUGUUAUGCUGCUACACGAGACUGGGUACCUUACAAAGAAAAGAGGUUUAAUUGACUCACAGUUCCACAUUGCUGCGGAGACCUCAGGAAACUUACAAUCAUGGCGGAAGGCACCUUUUCACAAGGUGGUAGGAGAAUGAAUGAGCGCCAGUAGGGGAAAUGCCAGACGCUUAUAAAACCAUCAGAUGUCGUGAGAGUCACUCAUCACGAGAACAGCAUGGGGGAAACUGCCCCCAUGAUCCGAUUACUUCCACCUGGUCUUGCCCUUUACAUGUGGGGAUUAUUACAAUUCAAGGUGAGAUCUGGGUGGGGACACAGAGCCAAACCAUAUAAGGCACACUGCUCACCAACAUUAGGUAGAGUUCAUACAUUUCUUUCUCUCAGCAAUGGACAAUGGAUACAUUAGAAUGAGGAUGAUUGCUGCAAUGCUAACCAGCUAAUAAAUAGAAGUGGACUGGGAUGAGAGUCCAGGCAAUUGCCUAAUGAGCCCCGCUAUACAUAUUUGCAAAAAUGUAGAAUGAUGCCAUUCUUUUUUGUUUUGGCAAAUAGUUAUUUUUCAUUAAAAAUGUAAUGUUAUGUUAAUAUUGGAUAAAAAUUGAUUUAAUAAAAAUGUUAUAACAUGUA